rnacentral:rRNA from 1 species
GACAGAUGGGAGCUUGCUCCCUGAUGUUAGCGGCGGACGGGUGAGUAACACGUGGGUAACCUGCCUGUAAGACUGGGAUAACUCCGGGAAACCGGGGCUAAUACCGGAUGGUUGUUUGAACCGCAUGGUUCAAACAUAAAAGGUGGCUUCGGCUACCACUUACAGAUGGACCCGCGGCGCAUUAGCUAGUUGGUGAGGUAACGGCUCACCAAGGCAACGAUGCGUAGCCGACCUGAGAGGGUGAUCGGCCACACUGGGACUGAGACACGGCCCAGACUCCUACGGGAGGCAGCAGUAGGGAAUCUUCCGCAAUGGACGAAAGUCUGACGGAGCAACGCCGCGUGAGUGAUGAAGGUUUUCGGAUCGUAAAGCUCUGUUGUUAGGGAAGAACAAGUACCGUUCGAAUAGGGCGGUACCUUGACGGUACCUAACCAGAAAGCCACGGCUAACUACGUGCCAGCAGCCGCGGUAAUACGUAGGUGGCAAGCGUUGUCCGGAAUUAUUGGGCGUAAAGGGCUCGCAGGCGGUUUCUUAAGUCUGAUGUGAAAGCCCCCGGCUCAACCGGGGAGGGUCAUUGGAAACUGGGGAACUUGAGUGCAGAAGAGGAGAGUGGAAUUCCACGUGUAGCGGUGAACAUGCGUAGAGAUGUGGAGGAACACCAUGGCGAAGGCGACUCUCUGGUCUGUAACUGACGCUGAGGAGCGAAAGCGUGGGGAGCGAACAGUGAUUACAUACCCCUGGUAGUCCACGCCCGUAAACGAUGAGUGCUAAACUGUUA